GACAGAGGCCUCAAGCGUUUAGGCGGAAUCACUGGGCUUAAAGCGUGUGUAGGCGGAUCGUUAAGUGUCUUGUGAAAUCCCACGGCUCACCCGUGGAACUGCUGGGCAUACUGGCGAUCUUGGGCCAACUAGGGGCAACUGGAACAAGCGGUGGAGCGGUGAAAUGCGUAGAUAUCGCUUGGAACGCCAAAGGUGAAAACAGGUUGCUGGGGUUGUGCCGACGCUGAGACACGGAAAAGCCAAGGGGAGCAAAACGGGGAUUAUGAAACCCCUACGUA
rnacentral:rRNA from 1 species